GAUGAACGCUGGCGGCGUGCCUAAUACAUGCAAGUCGAGCGAACAGACGAGGAGCUUGCUCCUCUGACGUUAGCGGCGGACGGGUGAGUAACACGUGGAUAACCUACCUAUAAGACUGGGAUAACUUCGGGAAACCUGAGCUAAUACCGGAUAAUAUAUUGAACCGCAUGGUUCAAUAGUGAAAGACGGUUUUGCUGUCACUUAUAGAUGGAUCCGCGCCGCAUUAGCUAGUUGGUAAGGUAACGGCUUACCAAGGCAACGAUGCGUAGCCGACCUGAGAGGGUGAUCGGCCACACUGGAACUGAGACACGGUCCAGACUCCUACGGGAGGCAGCAGUAGGGAAUCUUCCGCAAUGGGCGAAAGCUUGACGGAGCAACGCCGCGUGAGUGAUGAAGGUCUUCGGAUCGUAAAACUCUGUUAUUAGGGAAGAACAAAUGUGUAAGUAACUAUGCACGUCUUGACGGUACCUAAUCAGAAAGCCACGGCUAACUACGUG
rnacentral:rRNA from 1 species